UACGGGGGGGGGCAAGCGUUGUUCGGAAUUACUGGGCGUAAAGGGCUCGUAGGUGGCCAACUAAGUCAGACGUGAAAUCCCUCGGCUUAACCGGGGAACUGCGUCUGAUACUGGAUGGCUAGAGAUUGGGAGAGGGAUGCGGAAUUCCCGGUGUAGCGGUGAAAUGCGUAGAUAUCAAGAGGAACACCUGCGGCGAAGGCGGGUUGCUGGGCCGACACUGACGCUGAGGCGCGAAAGCCAGGGGAGCGAACGGG
rnacentral:rRNA from 1 species